GAUGAACGCUGGCGGCGUGCCUAAUACAUGCAAGUCGAGCGAACGGACGAGAAGCUUGCUUCUCUGAUGUUAGCGGCGGACGGGUGAGUAACACGUGGAUAACCUACCUAUAAGACUGGGAUAACUUCGGGAAACCGGAGCUAAUACCGUAUGAUAUUUUGAUCCGUAUGGUUCAAAAGUGAAAGACGGUCUUGCUGUCACUUCUAGAUGGAUCCGCGCUGCAUUAGCUAGUUGGUAAGGUAACGGCUUACCAAGGCAACGAUGCGUAGCCGACCUGAGAGAGUGAUCGGCCACACUGGAACUGAGACACGGUCAAGACUACUACGGGAGGCAGCAGUAGGGAAUCUUCCGCAAUGGGCGAAAGCCUGACGGAGCAACGCCGCGUGAGUGAUGAAGGUCUUCGGAUCGUAAAACUCUGUUAUUAGGGAAGAACAUAUGUGUAAGUAACUGUGCACAGCUUGACGGUACCUAAUCAGAAAGCCACGGCUAACUACGUG
rnacentral:rRNA from 1 species